rnacentral:lncRNA from 10 species
GUGAGGCUGGAAGGGUCUUUGUGUGAGCUCAGGACGGCGCUGGACAGGUGGGCCCUGGCUCCAGCUCCGGCUGCAGCGUCUUCCCCGCGCUCCCGAGCCUAUCCCUCGGGCGCCGGCCUGGGCUGUCCAGCGAGAGGGGCGGAGGGGCAGGGCCCCGGGCUAGGUCCAGGCCCGCAGCUGGCAUCAGGGGGGGCCUGGGUGGGAAGACCGGUUGGGGUGGGGGUGCACAGACCCGGGGAAUCUGAGACGCAAGGUUUCCGGCUCUUGGCCGCUAGUGAGGAAGGCUCGAGGCCGAUCCUGGCCCAAAGCAGGGCGCCGGGCCAUUGUCAGUCCUGGGAAGGGGGAUUGGGAGGAGCCCCAGAGGGGCGGCCAUUCCCUGGGGCGGCGUGGAAGGGAGGCAGCACCUCCAGGCGACAAGUAGAGCUGGGCCCUGGCGGGCUGCCACGGGGGUGUCUGGCAGUCUCUCCUGGGUCUAGGGCUGUUCCUCUGAGGUCACGAGGUGGUCCUUCGGGUGUGUCUGGGGUAAGCCCCUCUAGAAUCUGGGGGCGGCCUCCCGGGGGCCAUACUGCAUCACGUAGUGGAGUUGGGAAGAUAAAACCAGCACGUGUAAUGUAAUACAUGACAAUGGAAGAUUCUACGUAAUUAAGGGUUAACUCUGAAAUCAGAAGACAAGUUUUCCAAGACUUGGGAAGGUGGAGAGAUCAGAGAUCAGUGAGAGAACAAAGAAUCGGGAGGUCACACGCCACCUGCGGAUGGAGGAGACACACGCAGACAAGACAGGCCCCCCGCCACUGUUGGCACACAGGACACCCACCCAGCCUAUGGUCCUGUCUGUGGUUGGACAACAUAAUCAGAAUAACAGGGUCCAGAUGUCAGGGAUGGAAGUUGGAGAAAGAUGAGGCAGCAGCAGACACUUUCUCCUGUUGGCCUUAAAGAAGCAACCGCCUGUGCUGGGAGAGGGUCACUGGGCUGAGAUUGGUAGGUGGCUCUGGGAGCUGAGGGCCUAAACCUAUGACCACAAGGAACUGAAUUCAUCCCAAAGCCAGAGAGGUGGAAGACGACUCAGAAGAUGCAGAUGCCAAUGCCACAUCCUGGUAAAGGUUCUCGGAAGGACCCAAUGAGACUGGGCUCACUGGGAUAAUCCAGGAUCAUCUCCCAUCUCAAGGUUCUUCAUCGCAUACUUGCAAAGCCCCUUUUGCCAUGUCAGGUAACUUGUUCACAGGUUUGAAGAUUAGAAUGUGGGCAUGUUUGGGGGGCAUAAUUAGGCCUAGCACAAUGCCCAUGUACCCAUCUCCUUGCUUAAACAUUAAACACUUUGCCAAUAUUGUUUCUCCUAUCUCUCACUUUGUUCUCUAAAAAACUCCAGGAAUUUGUUAUUAAAUUUUAUUAAAGCAAAUCCCAGAAAUAAUAUAAUUUGCCUGUAAAUAUGUUAAUAUGUUUCUCUGAGGCCUUUAAAAAUCAUAGCCACUAUGGUAUUAUCGUAAUAAAAUU